CUUGAGCCAUAAAAUCAGAACAGAGACAAUCAGGGUCACUAAGUCUGAUCCAGAGGGCCCUCGACAAACAGCUCUACCCAAGGCAAAAUUGCUACUUAGACCAAACCAUCCAAAUUUGUUAAACACCUGGCAUUUUGCCAAGGACUCUGUGGCUAUGAAGAUGAAAAGAACCAAGGCUCUUCAUGCAUUCAAGGACCAGAUUCUGUCUGGCCCCCAGGCCAGGCCAUGGAUUUAUUUUGGAUCAGAAAUGCUGGUCUCAGAAGACUCCAGGGAGACUCGGAGUACAGGGAUUUGCUGGGUGCCAGGGCAGGUGGCAUUCCAAGCUGGUGGGACCCAGUCGGACUGGUUGGUGAAUCUACGUAUAGGAAUAGCAACAAAAGAUAAAAAUCCUUGGAAACUAAGGGAGGAAGCAGAAAAUUGGUCUUUAUUUGCUGAUCUGUCUAUUCUUGGGAAAUGGAAACACAGAGGCUGCACCUUUGGAAGUGUGACUGGAAGACUUAACUGGGAAUUCAUAAGUUACAUAUUUAGUUCCACUCACUGAACUCAGCAUAUGAUCAAUGACAUUGAUUUUGUGGUGCUGGGGAUUGAACCCAGAGCUUUAUGCAUGCUAAACAAGUAGUCUAUGACUAAGGUAUAUCCCUGGGCUCUAUAUGCAUCCAUUAUUAGUCAAUAAAUAAACAAUAACAAUAUUAGCAGUCAAUGAAUUUGUCACCACCAGUAUGAACUAUUAAUAUUUUUAUGUCAUCUCACAGUGUUGCAGAUACUACAAAAUUUAAUCUGUGUUCAUCACUACAGUAUAUUAAAUUAUGCUAGCUAUCAUACUCACCGUUAGAUCUGGACAUUUAGUGUAUUGCUAAGAAAGCAAUAUAUCAUGAAACUAGUAUAUCAUGAAACUUUUUGAAUAUUUGGAUAAUACAGUAAUUAUAGACCAAUAUAUUUCUUUAUGUAUUCAAAUUCAUUAUUGUUUGAGAAACAAAAAUAGAAAAGGGAUCCUGACAAAUGACAUAGAUAAUUCUCAAAAGAGGAUGUACCAGUGCCCAACAUCUAUGUGAAAAAUGCUCAGCAUCACUAAUCAUCAAAGAUAUGAAAAUCAAGAUCACAAAGAAUUAUUAUCCAACCACAAUUAGAAUGGCAUCAAAGGGCAAAACAAUAGCAGAUUCCAGUGAGGACUGGAGAAAGGAAAACUGUAUUGCUAGUGGAGGUGCAAAUUAGUAGAGUCAUUAUGGAAAGCAGUAUAGAGAUUCCUCAACAACCUAGGGUAGAACUAUUGUAUGAUCUAGCAAUCCCACUACUGAGUAUAUAUUCAAAGUUAUUUUUCCCUUUUUUUUUUUUUUUUUUGGUACCAAGGAUUGAACUCAGACCUUGCGCUUGCAAGGCAGGAGGCAAAACCCCUGAGCUAAAUCCCUGGCCCCAAAGUCAUUAAUAUCAGUAUGUCAAAAAGGCAUCUGUACUUGCAUCUUUAUUGCAGCACUAGCCACGAUAUCCAGGAUAUAGUCAACUUAGGUGUCCAGUGAAUGUAUGCAUAAAGAAAACAUGGUAUAUAACUUGUACACACAAUAGAACACUACUGUUUAGCCAUAAAAAGCAACAUGGACAGCAGUGGAGGACAUCAUGUUAAGUGAAAUAAGUCAGGCAUUAAAAGACAAAUAUUACAUGUUCUCACUUAUAUCCAGAUGGAAAAAGUUGAUCUCAUAUAAGCAGAGAAUAAAGUACAAUACUGGUUACCAGAGCCUGGGAAGGGUUUGGGGGAAGAAAAGAUGGAGACAAGACAGUAAAUGUGUGCAGGGGUGCAGUUGUAUAGGGCAAAUAACCUCUAACUUUCUGUAGCACAGUAGUUGGCAAUAAUUGAUUGAAUAUUUCAAAAAUAGCUAAUUUGGAAGAUCUCAAACGUUCCCAGCACAAAGAAAUGUCAAAUGUCUGAGGUG
ensembl:lncRNA